rnacentral:rRNA from 1 species
AUACGGGUAAUAGUAAGGGCACACGGUGGAUGCCUAGACACUAAAAGGCGAUGAAGGACGUAGCGUAGCUGCGAUAAGUUUCGGGGAGGUGUGUAGCAACCUUUGAUCCGGAAAUUUCCGAAUGGGGCAACCCAGCACAGCAAACCUGUGUUACUUCGAUAUUAAUAAAUCGAAGGGCAAACCUGCUGAAGUGAAACAUCUCAGUAAGCAGUGGAAAAGAAAAAAUGUACGCGAAUUUAUACUGGCGUACAGGAUGGCACAUGUCAUCGCGUCGUCAGUAUAAAUUCGCAUUAUUUCCUCAGUAGCGGCGAGCGAACAGGAAAGAGCCCAAACUUAUUAGUCCUGAGUUUAUCGAAGGAUUGAUAAGGGUUGUAGGGGAAAACACUCAAUGUUUUAAUUGUUCUGUAUCGGUCUUGUGCUUACAAGACUGGGAGAACAAUUAGAACGUUGUAAAGAGUUACAAAAUGAGUUCUUAGCUGAAUCUGCCUGGAAAGCAGAGCCAAAGAGGGUGAUGGCCCCGUAAGCGAAAAGAAUUUCAUCUCUUGUUUUUAUCCCUGAGUACACCGACAAACGAAAGCGUUGGUGGAAGCAUCCCACACUACAGGGAAAGGCUAAAUACUUUUAGUGAUCGAUAGUGAACAAGUACCGUGAGGGAAAGGUGAAAAGUAGGCCGGGAGGCCGAUGAAAUAGAACCUGAAACCGUGUGCUUACAAGGAAUCGGAGCCCCCCACCAUUUUUACUGAUAGGCGUUGUUGUCUUCUUCUCUGUUGAAAAGAAGACAAUAGCGUAAAAUCAAAGAUGCACUAUUGGUGAAAAUGGUGGGGGGUGACGGUGUGCCUAUUGAAGAAUGAGUCAGCGAGUUAUCCUGCAUUGCUCGUUUAACCCCGCCCCACUUUUAUGAAAAAUGUUGUUGUACCAGCAUUGAGUAAUAGUGCAUAACUGGUCUCUUUUGGUGGAGGAGAUAUCAUGUUGUAGAAGUGGGGCGGGGGAAGGCAAAGCGAAAGCGAGUCUGAAUAGGGCGUCGCAUUUUCUAAGUUUAUACGUUUUUGUCGCAAGACCGAACGUAUAGACUUGGGAUUUUGCAAGCAGUGCGGGCUAGACCCGAAGCCGGGUGAGCUUGCCGUGGCCAGGAUGAAAGUCGACGAAAGUCGACUGGAGGUCCGAACCGGUUGGUUGUGCAAAACCUUCGGAUGAGCUGCGGUAAGGAGUGAAAAGCUAAUCGAACUCGGUAAUAGCUGGUUCUCUCCGAAAUAGUUCUAGGACUAGCCUUGGGACAACUACGUGUGGGGGGUAGAGCACUGGAUGAAGGGUAAAGGGCUUCGGCUCGGCCGUUCAAUCAAACUCCGAAUACCCAUACGACUAUCCUGGGAGUCAGACAGUGGGGGCUAAGCUCCAUAGUCAAAAGGGCAAGAACCCUGAUGUUCAUCUAAGGUCCCUAAGUUUUGACUAAGUGUAAAGGAAGUGACAAGCCGAAGACAGAUAGGAGGUUGGCUUAGAGGUAGCCAUCCUUUAAAGAUUGUGUAACAACUCACUAUCAUAUCCCUCACCUUUCGGUCGUAGAUUUUUGUCAGAUUAAGUUAUUAUUUUCUUAUUUCUGAUUAUCAAUGUACGUUCGAAAGGUGAGGGACUGGCUUGUUGCGCCGAAGAUAUAUCGGGACUAAGUCAAAUACCGAAGAUAACAAUUCCGUGCCUCACUUUUGUGUAUAUAUGUAUAAAAUAUAAGGAAAUCUAUCGAAAUUAAGAAAAGGGAUUUAUGUGGAGGUAGCUCAAUUGGCAGAGCUUCAAGGAGGUGGUUCGUCAUCAUGCGACGGGCAAGUGUGCGCACGCUUACCCGUAGCAGACACCUGCUAAAACCUUGAAGGUUCGAGGUUCGAAUCCUCGCUUCCACACCAGGGAAGCAGCGUCUUCCCUCCCUUUUCUUGGUUUUGAUAGUGAAAAUAUAUCCAUAAAAGCGAGGCACGGUCUGGUAGGAGAGCAUUCCAAGGGCGUUGAAGGUCAAUCCGCGAGGAAGACUGGAGCGCUUGGAAGAGAGAAUGCUGACAUGAGUAACCGCAAGCACGAUGAGAAUUCGUGCCCCCGCAAAUCCAAGGUUUCCGUGGCAAUGGAAGUCAGCCACGGGUUAGGCGGCCCUAAGGCGAUGGCGAAAGCCGCAGCUAAUGGACAGCUGGUUAAUAUUCCAGCCCUCCGACAUAACGUUCGAUGGGGUGACGAAAGAAAUAAAUGGGAGGGGAUCAAUGGUUAUUCCCUCAUUUGAGCUGAGAAUGGUGUAUUAGGAAAAUCCGGUACACUAUCUUUAAUGAUGGCAUUCGGGCUUCGAUGAAAGCGGGGAUUAUAUUCUCGCGAUUCCCGUGAAGAGCUUUCCAAGAAAACCCUCUAAGAAUUAAGGUAUGGCGGACCCGUACUGUAAACCGACACAGGUGGAUGAGGCGAGUAGCCUCAGGGGAACGGGUGAUUUCUCGUUAAGGAACUCGGCAAAAAAGCGACCGUAACUUCGGGAUAAGGUCUGGCUCACGCAAGUGAGCCCGCAGCUAAAGUUUCUCUGGCGACUGUUUACCAAAAACACAGCUCCCUGCUAACUCGUAAGAGGAUGUAUAGGGGGUGACGCCUGACCAAUGCGAGAAGGUUAACGGUGGCGGUGUGUGCAGCACUUAGUUUGUAAGUAAGUAACGCUUAUCAAUUAAGUGCUGUGCAUGCUAACUGCCCGAAGCCCUCGUCAAUGUCGGCGAUAACUAUAAUCGUCCAAAGGUAGCGCAACUCCUUGUCGGGUAAGUUCCGACGUGCAUGAAUGGCGUAACGACUGGAGAACUGUCUCAACGAGAAGCCCGGUGAAAGUGCGACACCAGCGAAGACGCUGGUACCCUAUAGCGGGACGAAAAGACCCCGGGAGCUUUACUGUAGCUUGAUAUUGGGUUUACGUUCUAAUUACGUAGCGUAGUGGGGAGAGGUUGAAGGUUUGAUUUCGGUUGGACUGGACUCGUCAAUGAAACACCCAUUUUUUAGAAUGUAUAUCCUAACCUUUGCGGAAAAACCGCAGGGGGACAGUGUCUGGUGGGCAGUUUUCGUGGGGCGCGAUCCUCCCAAAGAGUAACGGAGGAGUUUAUCAAGGUCAGCUUAGCCUGGAUGGAAAUCAGGCUGGACGUGUAAAGGCACAAGCUGGCUUAACGGCAAGGCUUACAAGCCGCGCCGAUGCGAAAGCAGAACUUAAUGACCCGAUGGCACUUUGUAGAAAGGCCUGAGACAUCGGAUAAAAGCUACCCCGGGGAUAACAGGCUAGUCUGGUCCGAGCGUCCCUAGCGACGACCAGGUUCGGCACCUCGAUGUCGGCUCAUCUUAUCCUGGGACUGAAGAAGGCCCCAAGGGUUUGGCUGUUCGCCAAUUAAAAAGAUACGCGAGCUGGGUUCAAACCGUUAAGAGACGGACGUUAUGAACAUGAAUCAUAUCGCUCGGUUUUUUAACAGUUUGAACCCCGAGGAAAAGACAUGAGUCACGGCGGCAUCUAAACAUUUGUUUAGUGUAAAGUUAACUUAUAUCGGUAGAAUCCACUCAUCAAUGGACAAUACCGAGGGAACAAUGCAAAACUCAAAAUGCAAAAUUAUGAAGAUAUGAAAAUGUGCAUUUUCAUAUCUUCAUUUUAAACUUUGAGAUUUACUUUUUACAUUUAAGUAUCAUGAAAUGACACGAUUGGCCCGUAGAGACUACACGUUAACUAUUCCUAAAUAGAAAGACUCGAACUUUUAAGGGAAAGUUCGUUCGAUCUUAAAGAUUUAGGAAGAAAGAUAUAGUCCAAUACACUUAGUAAUAAGUGAAAACAACCACUGAGCUUUUAUUCUUACGAGAGUUGAAGUGAAGUAAUAUGCGUGAGACAGGUUGGUCUCUAUCUGCUAUAGGCGUUCGAAACUUGAGAGGAGUUGCCCUUUGUACGAGAGGAUCAGGGUGAACGAGCCUCUGGUGUAUCGGCUUUCAUACCAAUGGAAUUGCCGAGUAGCUAUUGCACGGAAGGGAUAAGCGCUGAAAGCAUCUAAGCGCGAAGCCCACCUCAAGAUUAGGUUUCGUGGUUCGACGCGAGUCGAACGAAAGACCCCUUGAAGAUGACAAGGUUGAUAGGCUUCAGGUGUAAGGCCAGUAAUGGUUUCAGCCGAGAAGUACUAAUAGGUCGAACUUCCCGUAUCC